rnacentral:ncRNA from 1 species
CCUGUUCGACACACGUCACAGGUCGGAAGUCACAGGUCGGAAUGUGGAACGCGAGAGAUCCUCUCGAGUUCUGAACCAGGAA